UACGUAGGGGGCUAGCGUUGUCCGGAAUUAUUGGGCGUAAAGCGCUCGUAGGCGGUGUGUCGCGUCGGCCGUGAAAACCUGCAGCUUAACUGUGGGCUUGCGGUCGAUACGGGCAUCACUGGAGUUCGGCAGGGGAGACUGGAAUUCCUGGUGUAGCGGUGAAAUGCGCAGAUAUCAGGAGGAACACCGGUGGCGAAGGCGGGUCUCUGGGCCGAUACUGACGCUGAGGAGCGAAAGCGUGGGGAGCGAACAGG
rnacentral:rRNA from 1 species